UUGAACGCUGGCGGCAGGCCUAACACAUGCAAGUCGAGCGGUAGCACAGAGAGCUUGCUCUCGGGUGACGAGCGGCGGACGGGUGAGUAAUGUCUGGGAAACUGCCUGAUGGAGGGGGAUAACUACUGGAAACGGUAGCUAAUACCGCAUAAUGUCGCAAGACCAAAGUGGGGGACCUUCGGGCCUCAUGCCAUCAGAUGUGCCCAGAUGGGAUUAGCUAGUAGGUGGGGUAACGGCUCACCUAGGCGACGAUCCCUAGCUGGUCUGAGAGGAUGACCAGCCACACUGGAACUGAGACACGGUCCAGACUCCUACGGGAGGCAGCAGUGGGGAAUAUUGCACAAUGGGCGCAAGCCUGAUGCAGCCAUGCCGCGUGUGUGAAGAAGGCCUUCGGGUUGUAAAGCACUUUCAGCGGGGAGGAAGGCGUUAAGGUUAAUAACCUUGGCGAUUGACGUUACCCGCAGAAGAAGCACCGGCUAACUCCGUGCCAGCAGCCGCGGUAAUACGGAGGGUGCAAGCGUUAAUCGGAAUUACUGGGCGUAAAGCGCACGCAGGCGGUCUGUCAAGUCGGAUGUGAAAUCCCCGGGCUCAACCUGGGAACUGCAUUCGAAACUGGCAGGCUAGAGUCUUGUAGAGGGGGGUAGAAUUCCAGGUGUAGCGGUGAAAUGCGUAGAGAUCUGGAGGAAUACCGGUGGCGAAGGCGGCCCCCUGGACAAAGACUGACGCUCAGGUACGAAAGCGUGGGGAGCAAACAGGAUUAGAUACCCUGGUAGUCCACGCCGUAAACGAUGUCGAUUUGGAGGUUGUGCCCUUGAGGCGUGGCUUCCGGAGCUAACGCGUUAAAUCGACCGCCUGGGGAGUACGGCCGCAAGGUUAAAACUCAAAUGAAUUGACGGGGGCCCGCACAAGCGGUGGAGCAUGUGGUUUAAUUCGAUGCAACGCGAAGAACCUUACCUGGUCUUGACAUCCACAGAACUUUCCAGAGAUGGAUUGGUGCCUUCGGGAACUGUGAGACAGGUGCUGCAUGGCUGUCGUCAGCUCGUGUUGUGAAAUGUUGGGUUAAGUCCCGCAACGAGCGCAACCCUUAUCCUUUGUUGCCAGCGGUCCGGCCGGGAACUCAAAGGAGACUGCCAGUGAUAAACUGGAGGAAGGUGGGGAUGACGUCAAGUCAUCAUGGCCCUUACGACCAGGGCUACACACGUGCUACAAUGGCAUAUACAAAGAGAAGCGACCUCGCGAGAGCAAGCGGACCUCAUAAAGUAUGUCGUAGUCCGGAUUGGAGUCUGCAACUCGACUCCAUGAAGUCGGAAUCGCUAGUAAUCGUAGAUCAGAAUGCUACGGUGAAUACGUUCCCGGGCCUUGUACACACCGCCCGUCACACCAUGGGAGUGGGUUGCAAAAGAAGUAGGUAGCUUAACCUUCGGGAGGGCGCUUACCACUUUGUGAUUCAUGACUGGGGUG
rnacentral:rRNA from 1 species